UUGACCGAUUUCUUUCGGUGUUCAGAGUCUGCUUCUGUUUCUAGCACCAUUUGAAAUCGGUUAC
rfam:Oreochromis niloticus linkage group LG20, whole genome shotgun sequence.